ensembl:piRNA 21ur-338 ncRNA
UGCCACUGUUUAAUAUUCAUU